AUACGGAGGGUGCAAACGUUGCUCGGAAUCAUUGGGCGUAAAGCGCACGUAGGCGGUUCGGUAAGUCGGAUGUGAAAGCCCUAGGCUUAACCAAGGAAGUGCAUUCGAAACUGCCAAACUUGAGUAUGGGAGAGGGUUGCGGAAUUCUCGGUGAAGAGGUGAAAUUCGUAGAUAUCGGGAGGAACACCAGUGGCGAAGGCGGCAACCUGGACCAAUACUGACGCUGAGGUGCGAAAGCGUGGGGAGCAAACAGGAUUAGAAACCCUAGUAGUCC
rnacentral:rRNA from 1 species